rnacentral:rRNA from 1 species
UGGGGAAUAUUGGCACAAUGGGCGCAAGCCUGAUGCCAGCCAUGCCGCGUGUGUGAAGAAGGCCUUCGGGUUGUAAAGCACUUUCAGCGAGGAGGAAGGUGGUGAACUUAAUACGUUCAUCAAUUGACGUUACUCGCAGAAGAAGCACCGGCUAACUCCGUGCCAGCAGCCGCGGUAAUACGGAGGGUGCAAGCGUUAAUCGGAAUUACUGGGCGUAAAGCGCACGCAGGCGGUUUGUUAAGUCAGAUGUGAAAUCCCCGGGCUCAACCUGGGAACUGCAUUUGAAACUGGCAAGCUAGAGUCUCGUAGAGGGGGGUAGAAUUCCAGGUGUAGCGGUGAAAUGCGUAGAGAUCUGGAGGAAUACCGGUGGCGAAGGCGGCCCCCUGGANGAAGACUGACGCUCAGGUGCGAAAGCGUGGGGAGCAAACAG